rnacentral:rRNA from 1 species
UACGUAGGGCGCAAGCGUUGUCCGGAAUCAUUGGGCGUAAAGCGCGCGUAGGCGGCCAGAUAAGUCCGGUGUGAAAGCCACAGGCUCAACCUGUGAAUGCCGCUGGAAACUGUCUGGCUAGAGUCCGGGAGGGGCGAGUGGAAUUCCUGGUGUAGCGGUGAAAUGCGCAGAUAUCAGGAGGAACACCGGUGGCGAAGGCGGGAUCCUGGGCCAGUACUGACGCUGAGGAGCGAAAGCGUGGGGAGCAAACAGG